UAAGGAAUAUUGGACAAUGGACGCAAGUCUGAUCCAGCCAUGCCGCGUGAAGGAUGACUGCCCCCUGGGUUGUAAACUUCUUUUAUAGGGGAAGAAAGUUAUUUUUUAGGAUAUUUGACGGUACCCUAUGAAUAAGCACCGGCUAACUCCGUGCCAGCAGCCGCGGUAAUACGGAGGGUGCAAGCGUUAUCCGGAUUCACUGGGUUUAAAGGGUGCGUAGGCGGGUAUGUAAGUCAGUGGUGAAAUACCGGAGCUUAACUUCGGAACUGCCAUUGAUACUAUAUAUCUUGAAUAUUGUGGAGGUAAGCGGAAUAUGUCAUGUAGCGGUGAAAUGCUUAGAGAUGACAUAGAACACCGAUUGCGAAGGCAGCUUGCUACGCAAAUAUUGACGCUGAGGCACGAAAGCGUGGGGAUCAAACAGGAUUAGAUACCCUGGUAGUCCACGCCCUAAACGAUGAUUACUCGACAUUAGCGAUACACAGUUAGUGUCUGAGCGAAAGCAUUAAGUAAUCCACCUGGGAAGUACGACCGCAAGGUUGAAACUCAAAGGAAUUGACGGGGUCAUAGCUGUUUCCU
rnacentral:rRNA from 1 species